GAUGAACGCUGGCGGCGUGCCUAAUACAUGCAAGUCGAACGCAUUGUGGUUGAAAUGAUAUGAAGAACUUGUUCAGAUUUGAUUUUCAACACUGCAAUGAGUGGCGAACGGGUGAGUAACACGUGGGAAACCUACCUCUUAGCAGGGGAUAACAUUUGGAAACAAAUGCUAAUACCGUAUAAUAAUUAAAACCGCAUGGUUUUAGUUUAAAGAUGGUCUUGCUAUCACUAAGAGAUGGUCCCGCGGUGUAUUAGUUAGUUGGUGAGGUAAUGGCUCACCAAGACAAUGAUUCAUAGCCGAGUUGAGAGACUGACCGGCCACAAUGGGACUGAGACACGGCCCAUACUCCUACGGGAGGCGAGCAGUAGGGAAUCUUCCACAAUGGACGAAAGUACUGAUGGAG
rnacentral:rRNA from 1 species